UACCGACCAUCACACCCUGUAGUCAUAAAAAUAAGAUUGUUAUCCAUCCAUUCAUUUUUUUUCAGGAUACAUUUGAUGUUCGGUCCAAUUUAUUAUUUACGAUUACGUACCUGAUGACGUGGUCUACCAACAAUACUAGGAAAGACAGCUCGUGGUGCAUCGUCUCCUGCGAAUCCCGCUUUGCACAUACCUGAACCAUUGUCCACGACGAGCGCCGCAACAUCAUCGUCGCACAUCUUGAAGGAUUGUUAUUAGCGUUUCUUUCUGCGAAUGAAUUAAUGAAAUUAAUCGCUUUCUCUUUUCUUUUAAAUCCUCUUAUAACAAUCACUUUGAUAGAAUACGGAAGUUCGAUAGGUAGUUAUUCAUUGCAUUUCAUAGAGAAGAAAAACUGUUUAUGUCGAUUCUAGAUACUAGGAAACGUUAACGAAUCAUUGAAAUAUCAUUUUACUAGUCACUAGUUGUAAUUAAAUUUCCAUGUAGCAUGCAUCAUGGUAUCCUUAUAUUUCGUCACGUAGCACCAUGCAAGAUUUACCAACUACACUUCACACAAAUUUCAACACGGCGAAAAUGUACGUAAAAUUAUGCCAUUGGUUAGUACGAAUCGAUUGCCCGAUACACUUGAUCGCGAUCACGAGAAUCACAAAGUUGACGAUCUAUGCAUAAGUUCGAAAGAAAAAGUAGUAGAAAGCAUAGAAUAAAAAGGAGAUGUGGAAAAAAGAAUUAGAGGAGCUGAUGAAGAAGAAGAAAAAGCGUUGUCUAAAGCAAGGUAAAACGCAGGCGCAAGGUUUGCAUUUUCCUUUGAAUGAUUUACCGUUCAGAGUUGGAUGGCUCAAUAGAUCGGCGACGAUCUCUUAGGGACGAACGUUGUACAAGAGACCGAAAGCGGCGAGUGGCGCAUCGUCUGCUCUGUGGGGUACCUUUAUCCAUAUCGGUUCGAAGCCGAAAAUAGCGAUCCGCCCCUUAGAUGGAAAUCUGCUGUACGUUAACGCGUGCAUCGGUUCGCCGCCGCCGCCGUCACCGCCGCCGCCACUACCACCACCGCCGUCGCCGCCGCCGUCGCCGCCUAAUCCUUAGUCGCCCUAAGAGCGACGUCGAGAGGGAGACGCGGGUUGUUACGACGCCGACGACGCGCUUUUCCCAACGGAUCCCGAAUCCAAAUAAGGACUCGUUACAACGCAGGGCCGUCCUCCCCGGGUGCUUUUCACCUAAAUGAAGGUACCAAUAGAUGAUGGUACGCGUCCAGUUUACGCUUUCCUCCCUUUUUUAACUACCGUAUUAUUGCUUUUUUCUUUUUCUUUUCUUUUUCCUUUUUUCUUGUCGUUCUUUCGCUGUUCUUUCUUUGUUCGUUUCCUUGCUUUUAAAAGUACUUCUUCUUCUGUAAAAGAAAAGAGAAAAAUGUAAAGAACAACAUUUAAAGUAGGUUACGUUGUGAGAUUCAGUCAAAGUCAUGUGUCUUCGUCAAAAUAAAAUAUCAUUUAUCUUUUACGUAAUCAUAUAUUCCUCUCAUACUUAUUAAACGAUUUUAUACAAGAAUGAAUCUUGAGUAAUUUAUAUUUACAUAAAAAAUCAUGUCGUAUUAGUUAUUGUAUAAUGGCCUAACGCAGAUGAUAAAGAUGAUGUAAAUGUAAGAUAAGACAGGUAGUUCAUAAAACGUAUUUGAAAUAGAAAUACUCGAGAGAAUAUUGAUUGUAUUUGGAAACACAAUAAUCUUCUAAAUAAUAAAAAUAACCAUUUUUUAUUUAGUAUUAUUAAAAUGUACGGGGCGACGAGAAUUACUCGAUCCAUCAUCGAGCUCUCUCCCCACUUUACCAUUUUGUAGUAGCAUCGAUGUUGGCUGUCGAUUUGUCGGACAGAUUCGGCGAGUUUGCAUUACUGAGUUUCAAUCUCGAAACGGCGCGUCUUUGUUAGUUGCUAAUGUUCUUUUAAUGGUGCUUCCUUUGCAUACGUUACGGUAACUAACUUAAAGAAAAUUAUUAUGAAAAAAUGGGUGCAAAUUAAUCAUCAUUCCGCCGUAUGCGAACAAGUAUACGAGGAUAAAUAUCUUCUGAGAUUAAAAUUAAAUCAUUAACGACGUUCUCUUUCGUUAGCACUUUUGUGUCGGUAAUAAAGCUUACAUAUGAAACAAUUGUUCCUUGAUAAUUCGAUUACGAUAGAUAAAAUAUUCGUGAGAGAGUUAGAAUAUAACGUUAGAAUGUAAAUUCUGUACAUAUACGUAUCUUCUGCGUAUCUUAUUUCACUAUGCAAAGUUCGAAAAAUGUAAAAUGACAUCAAUGUAAUUUCGCUUUACACUUUAGACAAAUUAUAAAUCUUGUAUAAUUUACCCAAUUCCAAAUCAAACGAUCUUCUUCAAAAUUAUAUUUGCAGAUCGGAUGAUAAAAGUUAGCCAAUGCAUCCGAAUGUUACCUUCUUCGUCAAAUAUGCAUACAACGACUAAAAUGUUACCUGGAUUUUCAUUUCCACUGGGCAUUGGCUGAUGGAUCAUUGUUAACCACAUCGGUGAAAGAUUUGGUGCAUCAUUAAGGACUUGGAAUCAUCGCUAGCCAGGAUUGACCCAGUUGCCUAUAAAACGAUAGGCGAGCAGCUUCAGCAUCGCAAAGUUAUUUCUGUGCGGCGGAUAGCUAAGUUUAGAUGGACGACCAACGGACGCUCCCUAAUAAGUUCAAGCAAUGUUUAUAGUAUCCGACGUCGCCCCGGCUCGGCCGUUAAAUGAAAAAACAUAGCUCAUAUGCUUGUGCGUGCCAAAAUUACGCUAUGCUUUGAAAAGCAUCGCAGAAGCGUAUGCGGACAAAGACCUCAAAUAAGUUUAAAAUUAUGCCUUGCUUUCAUAUUAAUUAAUUGCAAUCCUGGAAUGACUUUUAUAUCGAGAGAUGGACAAUCUAGUCGAAGUUGACGGUUGGAUGGUGAUUGGUGAAAUUCAUAAAUAUCAUGAGAAGCUACUGGAAAUCGAUGUGAGUGACUGUUCGUAAAAAUAGAUUCCUCGUACCUAAUUUGGAUGGAUGGGAGAGCCAAGUUUUGAUAAAAGCUACCUCGUGCGGCGAGACAGCUUUUUUUGGACAUUGCCUCGCAAUUACUCAGAUAUGCUUUUACUCGAGAGCAAAACUAUAGACUCUAGCGAAGAAAUGAUUAACAAUCAUGAUGAAUAUAUAUCUAUGUCAAAUAUAUUAUUGCAUGCUUUAAUUCAGUUUAAUUUUGCAAUCAGUUUCUAAUUCGAGACCACAAUUGGACGAUAGUAAAGAACGUGAUUAUAUAGGAAAAAUUUAAUUCUAAUAAACCAAAAAUAGAUAUUACGUAAUGUGCGCGCACCUCAAGAAUAAUACAACAUUUAACUGAAUACGUAGAGACAAAAUGUUCGUUAAGGAGGUUCUUAAUUGCUUCAUCGAAUAAUAAAACACCAUUGAAACAUACGUUAAAAUCCUAUAAAUGUCUAAAGGAUUAUAACAUCGGAUAUAUAGGAAAGGAUAUAACAUCGUGUUUUAGUAUUAAAUCAUAUUUAUAAUGUCGUGU